UUUUUUUUUUUUUUUUCCCUUCUCCCACCCCCUUCUCUCUGCUGAUCCCCGCGACCUGCGUUUUCCUGGGGGUCCGGAACUCUGGACCCAAAGCGUCGGCCACCCCCUCAGGACAACUGGUAUCUCAUCAGAGCACUCUCUUGCCCAUGUCCACCCAUAAGCAGAUGGCCUCCCGCACCCCCCCCCCACCCUGGAGGAUUUCUUAAUGGGGUGAAAAUGCCAGUCCCCGAAGCCAGGGCUCCCGGACCCCCAGGGCCGAGCUGGGCGCGGGAGCCCCGCAGGGGCGGAGAGGCCGGCUGAGGUAGGUGGAGGAACUAUUUCUUGACGUAAUCCGUCUCUGUCGCCCCGACGCUCCCGCAGUCUCUGCGCGAGCCGAGAUCAGCGAUUGUCAGUUCGGAACGUGGCUUUUAAAAAUGCGUUUUUAAAUAGUGUCUUGAAGAAGUGGAGGAGAGAUCAGCACAAGUUAAGUGGGGCGUCCCCAUCCCGUCUUCCUGCUCACCCUCCUUUGCCCCCAACUCCAUCUCUGCGACACCCUGCCCCCCCAAAAGAAGUCACUCCAGGGCUCUGUCUGCAGAGAGCCAGGGUGAGUGCGGGCAAGGCGAGAGAGAGAGCGACCUCGGUCGUGGGCAAGUAGCUUGUUUUUACGUCCUUCAAUAAAAUUUUUAUGAGGAUCA